UACGUAGGGUGCGAGCGUUAAUCGGAAUUACUGGGCGUAAAGGGCGCGUAGGCGGCCUGCUAAGUCGAACGUGAAAUCCCUGGGCUCAACCCAGGAACUGCGUCCGAUACUGGUUGGCUUGAAUCCGGGAGAGGGAUGCGGAAUUCCAGGUGUAGCGGUGAAAUGCGUAGAUAUCUGGAGGAACACCGGUGGCGAAGGCGGCAUCCUGGACCGGCAUUGACGCUGAGGAGCGAAAGCCAGGGGAGCAAACGGG
rnacentral:rRNA from 1 species